rnacentral:tRNA from 1 species
AAAAAUUUAGUUUAACUAAAACCUCAGUUUGUCAAAUUGAAAAUAUUUUAUAAAUAAUUUUUA